UCAAGUGAAUAUCAUUUUUGACUGCCGUUGUGAAUCAGACCUCAGUUGUCAUGGACUGUAGCGACCAGUCAGUGGAGAUUCUGACCAACUGAGGACUGAUUGAUGAUGUCCGUCAAAAGAUGGCAUAACUUAGA
rnacentral:pre_miRNA from 1 species